rnacentral:rRNA from 1 species
GACGAACGCUGGCGGCGUGCCUAAUACAUGCAAGUAGAACGCUGAAGGAGGAGCUUGCUUCUCUGGAUGAGUUGCGAACGGGUGAGUAACGCGUAGGUAACCUGCCUGGUAGCGGGGGAUAACUAUUGGAAACGAUAGCUAAUACCGCAUAAGAGUAGAUGUUGCAUGACAUUUGCUUAAAAGGUGCAAUUGCAUCACUACCAGAUGGACCUGCGUUGUAUUAGCUAGUUGGUGGGGUAACGGCUCACCAAGGCGACGAUACAUAGCCGACCUGAGAGGGUGAUCGGCCACACUGGGACUGAGACACGGCCCAGACUCCUAAGGGAGGCAGCAGUAGGGAAUCUUCGGCAAUGGACGGAAGUCUGAACGAGCAACGCCGCGUGAGUGAAGAAGGUUUUCGGAUCGUAAAGCUCUGUUGUAAGAGAAGAACGAGUGUGAGAGUGGAAAGUUCACACUGUGACGGUAUCUUACCAGAAAGGGACGGCUAACUACGUG